UACAGAGCCUGCGAGCGUUAUUCGGAUUCACUGGGCGUACAGGGUGCGCAGGCGGCCGUGUGUGUGAGGCGUGAAAGCCCGGGGCUUAACCUCGGAAUUGCACCUCAAACUACACGGCUAGAGCAUUGGAGAGGGUAGCAGAAUUCAUGGUGUAGCAGUGAAAUGCGUAGAUAUCAUGAGGAAUACCAGAGGCGAAGGCGGCUACCUGGACAAUUGCUGACGCUCAGGCACGAGAGCGUGGGGAGCAAAAGGG
rnacentral:rRNA from 1 species